AAGGUGAAAAUUGUUGCAGCUCUCAGCUAACCUGUACUGGUCACCCAAAACCCACCGCGUGGAGGUGGUUGCUCUUCGGGUUCCUCCCAAGCCCAACCCAACCAACCAACCAUAUGUCAGGCUUGUUUUAGUCUGAAUCUGUGUCAAAUUUAUUGAUAAAAUCAGAUUUUGUACUAAACUUUGGCACUUAUUGCCUAGAUUUCAGUGUAGAGCGUAUAAAACGAUCACGAGAUUGGGGGACAAUAACUUUAGAAGAUGUCUCUGUCACCAGUUUGACGGCUCUCUCGACUGCCACGGUGUGAGAGGGGAAUUCACUAACUUCCCAUACCUCUGCAGUGUCUCCCGAUAGCCCUUUUAUGAGUUCUUCGUUAGAAACUGAACAAAGAACUGGUGGAACAGUCAAGGUAAUAGUCUUCCAGUUAAUCAUAUCGUAAUAAUUAUUAGCUUUGAAAAAAUCUUUAUUUCCUUUGUUGGUUUGUCAGUAGAAAUGUAUAAUCUCAGAAUUCUCUUUGCACAGGUGAGCCAGCGAGAUUUGCACAUGUUACCUGGAUGCAUCGACGCUAAAUCUGAGGAACAUUGACCGGAAAUAACAGCUUCUGAUAUUUUAUAGAGAUAAGCUUGGUCUGUGCUAAGUUGGGUCGGAUUAAUAACCUCAGAAGGUAAUUGGCAGGAUGGAAAACUUUCAUAUUUGACAACAGGCAACUUCUCACAAUCAGGGAGCAGUUUACCUAUGUCGUCAGAGAAUGUAUUUGGACUCUUUGAAACACCAUGUGUACGAAAGGAGCACGAAAUGGAAGUUCGUUGAAAUGUAGAAGACAAACAACCCACUGUAUUGGCCUACCUAUUCUUUCUUCUAGUUUCCGAAUGAUUCCACCUUUCCAACCUGUGUUCGUGUUGGUGCCAUCAGCACCGACAACUUCUAGAUGUUCCACAUCAACUGAAUUGUCUUGUAAAUGUUGCCAUAUUGCUUGCGUCUCAUCCUCAGCUGACCCGGAAGGAGAGGUGACGUGGCCAAAGUAAUGACAACCAGGUUCCGCUAUAAGAGAAAUAUGUUCCUCUUUGACAGUGUCGCGCUAGUACUUUUCACCUUCGCUGACUUGUGUAAGUGUAUUGUCUUUGCGGCCGUCAAAAUACAGCCCAUAUACAGAGUCAAUACUUUCGGUGUUUUGGAGCUUAACUCUAACACUUUUUUUUGCCCGACUAAUCUUGCAUUUGUCAGUGACAAAGCUAGCCUGAUCCUCUGUUAUCAAACCUGCUUUUUCAGCAUCCAGAAAAGCAGAUGAAACAAUCAAGGCCGCUGCUCUAUAACUUACUCCAAAUCCUUGGGCAGCUAAGGCAGUGUGUUCUAAUACUAGUGUGUUUUAUUUGGUUUUAGAGGAUGGAAGGGAAAAUUCAUCAUCAGCAUCGCUUUUGGAAGAAUCCAUGUGCGACGCACCUACAUUGUUGUCGUCUGUAUGAGAGUCUGGCUGAUCUGAAUGGUCACGUGUUCUAGCUGAUACGUUUCUGGUAAGUGUUGAUGUUGAAUGACGUUUUGAAAGCUUUUCUUUACGUUCAUUUUUCUUUGUAAUCUUUUUUGUUUCAGGUAGAUCAACACUUCCAAUGCGACCAAUUCUUCUGGUUCUCUGGUCCAAGAGCAAUGGUUGAUCAUUGAUAGGAACUUUCCUUUUCUUUGGACAAGUGCAAGAAGAAAAAUAAAUGCAUUUACAAGCAGCGAUGUCAAAUAAUUUUCCGGCAGAAGAGACAAAGUUGUCUCUUUUAGAGCUCAAACCUAUUGGGUUUCUUAAAAACAUUUGUUUAAGAGUCAGAAAUUUCUUAUGGUAUGUGGUGAGCAUUUGUACAACUCUGGUGUGUGAAACUAUCGGAAUAGAUGACCUUUUGAAAGUAUUUUCAACCUUUUUGCAACUAUUUCUGUAACCUCUAUACGAAAUCUUUCAAACUGAUAACACAAAAGAACAUCCUGGUAAGUAGGUAACUGGCACUCAGAGAGAUUGUACGGAUAUAUGCCAAACACAGGACAUGUCUGUCUAAAUUUAAAUUUAGAUACAGACAUUUUGAGUUCUGUGUUCUGUUGAGAGAAUAUAAGUGAUAUCACUCGGUGAAAUCAACAACAAGAGUGAAGGAACUCGAUGAAAAAAUAUUUAUGUGGAGACCAGUCCGAACGUGUCGUAUGGCGCAGGGAAAUGAAUGUAAGUGAUAGAACUCGGCGAAAUCACCGAAAAGAGUGAAGGAACUCGAUGAAAAAAUAUUUGUGUGGAGACCUAUCCGAACGUGUCCUUUGGCUUAGGUGAAUGAAUGUGAGUGAUAGCACUCAGCGAAAUCAACGUCAAGAAGUGUGGCCGCAAGCCACCUUUUUUUCACCUUGCGCUGUGGCGCGCCGCAUUUUUGCUCGUAUCUCGGGAACGGUUUGUCCUACGGCCAUGAGUACCAUUUCGGUAGAAAAUGACGUGACAAAUAAUUUUUGUUUUAUACAUUUUGCCAUGAGAUGCGUAUUUCAGGCGCUAGGUAGACAAUUUCACGAUUUUAGGCGAAUUUCCGAAAUUUCAAGGCCGGAGUUGGGGUUUAAGAUGCAAUCCGAUCUCAAAACAAAAAGUUGCAUUGGAAUCAGGAAGUACUAAGGCAACUUUUCCGCACUAUUAGAAAUCCCGAAUCGAAAAAAGUCCGGAAUCGACCCACCCUAUGAUACACCCUGUCCAGAAAGUAUCGGGAUUUCUUCAUUUAACUCUCCCGCUUAUAUAGAAGACAAGUCACUUUUUUUCUAGGUUUGUACAACUGUCCUUAAUUAUGAUGCCAAAAAUUAGCGCGAUCUGUCAACCAGUGUGUUUACCUCAUCUGUUUAUGACAGUCGACCUCAGCUCUCGCGUCGAAUUUGUUCUGAUGUCUUCAACUAACUCAACUCGGUUUCCCUGGAGCCGCUCUUUGAAUUACAAGAAUAGCUAAAAGUAGGGUAGAAGGGGAAGCAUUCGCCAGUGGGGCACAUAUGCCACCACCAAUUAUCUUUAAAAUUAAAUAAGCUAUUGAUAAUCGAAAAACGAUAUUUUGUGCAUUUAUCGAUGAUCUUCCACCUCUCACUCUUUGGUAGUUUCAUUAUAUGUACAUGUGCUCGAGGACGGACGAGGUUUUAUGUUUUACGGACUACCGCGAAAAUAUUUGGUUGUAAGUAUUUUUUGUAAUAACUUUUUUUGGAGGCAUUAGAUGACUCCGGCCAGUCAUCUGAAGGUGAAUAUAUGUAUUCAUCGAAAUAUACCUCAAAUCAAGUUUUCACAAAACAUCAAGAAAAAGAGAUAUGCGAGUAUUUUAAAGCAUGCUCUAACCUACAGCACGGCUUCACCUGUACAAUGGCACGGAAGUUUGUAUUUGAAUAUGCCACAAUAAAUGAUAUUGCCAUGCCUUUAUCAUGGGUGGAUAAUGAAAAAGCUGGAAUUGACUGGAUUCAAGCAUUUAUGAAAAGUAAUCAAGACUUGAGUUUGCGAAAACCUCAAAAUACAAGUCUUUAUCGACUGACUGUAUUUAAGAAAAGCGCAGUAAUGGAGUUUUUCGAUAAUAUGCAGCAUUUGCUCAAAAAUAAUUCAUUGUCUCCGUGUGAUAUUUAUAAUUUAGACGAAACGGGUAUUACUACUGUGUUGCAAUCACCCAAGGUUAUUUCUUCAAAAGGAAGACGAACAGUUUCUCAAGUGGCGUCUGUAGAAAGAGGAUCGCUUGUGACAAUGGUAGGCAUUGUAAAUGCUUCUGGUAACGCUCUACCACCUGUCUAUGUGUUCCCUCGUAUAAAGUAUAAAGAACAUUUCGUGAAUGGGAGUCCCAACGGUUGUCUGGGGAUAACAGAUAAGAGCGGAUAGAUGACAGCUCAAGGCUUUAUAGAAGUCCUAAAGCACAUCAAAAAUAACACUCGGUGUUCCAAGGAGAAACCAAUAAGCCUUUUCCUAGACAAUCACGUCUCCCACUGCAGUCUAACAGCAAUCAUAUUUUGCAGAGAAAAUGGUAUUCAUAUGAUUACUUUUCCGCCACAUACGUCACACAAGCUCCAACCAUUGGUUGUUUGGUCCGUUUAAAAAGUACUUAGCGACUUCGUUCAAUUAUUUCCUUGUAUUCAACCCUGGUAGAAUAAUUACAAUUUACAAUAUAGGUAUUAUCGCUAUCUAAUAUCCCAUUUCGGAAGGCAUUUGCUGCUGAAAACAUUUGCAAAGGAUUUGAAAUGACAGGUAUAAGCCCAUUUAACAAACAAAUAUUUCCUGAAACAGACUUCAUAAACGAACCAAAUGAAGAACAUCCAACCGCUGACAAUGAUAAUGAACCUAUACUUCAACAAGAUGCGAUUUCAAAUGAACCUGAUGUCCUGUUUGAGCCUCCAGUCACACCCCCACCUCUUCCUAAAACUCCGGAGCAAGUCCGUCCACUCCCUAGAAUUCAACAAUCUAAAUCUGACAAAAGAUAGGGAAAAUCCACAAUCUUGACAUCUACUCCAUUAAAAGAAGAAAAGGAACGACCACAGCAGCAAAAGAAAAAACAAGCAAAGAAACCAUUGGUAUGAAAAGGAGUUCCGAAAAUAAUUAAUAAAAAACGUAAAACCUACGUCGACUCAUUAUCUGACUUAGCAGAUGCCUUAAGCUUCGCUGAAUCCGACAGAUCUGUUGGUUCGUGUGUAGAACCAGAGAGCCUUGGUGAGAUCAAAUUCGUACUUGUUCGAUUUGGUGGGCAGGUAGAUAAGUUCUAUGUUGGCAAGAUAUUGUCUGAAUGUCCGAACUCGGUAACUUUUGAUUUUUUAAGAAAAAAGCCAGGUUCAUGGACAUUUUAUGAACCAUGUGUUAACGACAUAUCCUAUAUUCCAAAAGAUGACAUUGCCCUGAAGUUGCCGGACCCAAGCCAUUCCGCAGGAACGUCCCGAUCAGCUGCAACAUACAUAUUUGAUGUAGAUAUGUCGCAGUACAAUGCACACUACACCAAUUACUAUCGCAUAUAGAGAUAUUAAAAGUUAAAUGUUAUUAAGCCAAAGUUAAAUAUAUAAACUGAAUGAUGAAAGCCGAAUAAAAAACGAAUAAUCUCGAUAUAUAAUGACCGGAUGAUGCAAAGGAUGCAACGUUCAGGAAAAAUGUUCAAAUAGACGUUGCGGGCAAGUUGCCUGCUGGACCGCUGGUGGACGCACGGGAUGGAGGUCGGAGAAACGUAAACGGUGUAUAUAAUUGAUGUGUCGAUGCGAACUUUCUAGAAUGUUAAAAUGGACGGUUUUUUAAAUAGACGAUUUCAAAUAGACGAUUGCGAAUAGACGAUGCGUGCAGCGGCGAACGUGACUUCUAGAAGAAAGAAGAAUCAAAAAAAACGGCAGAGCGUCACCUUCUCGUUGGUAUAAGAUGAAAAAUGGAACAAAAACAGUUUGGUGAUGAUCAAUGAUGCCCUAAUUAACAUGUUGAUGUGGAGAGUGUUGUAUUCACUGAUCAGUGAUGCCCUUUAGUUAUAGUUCAUCUCAACACAUUGUUUAAUAAAUAAAAAGAAAAUAGUUGUGCCACAAACUUAAAGUUGCAUUUUCCUUUUGACGAUUGCGCCCCAUCCAACUGGCGAAUUUACCCCAUGGAUGGGGCAGUUUCACCCUUUUGGGCAUCUUGGGAAAUCCGUAAAAUUUGUAUAUAAAUAUGCGAGGUAAUCAGAAUAAAACGGUUAAAAUUUAAAACCAACAAAUGUAAGCUCUUACACAAAAAAAAGUUUUGAAAGACCAUUAACAGUUUUUUUUAUGAGAGCCUCAAAAAAAAAAAGAGGCGAAUGCUCCCCUUCUACCCUAUAUACGUAGUGCUAUUUGUUGAGUGUUUGGCCAAAAUUUAACACAAAUACGUUGAUUUAAAUAUUAAAAUUCGACAAACACUAUUGAGGUCGACCAUAUAAGAAGGAGAUGAGAGGGAAAAAAGAAGAAUUCCCGAUACUUUCUUGACGGGGUGUAUCCAGAAUAUGAAAUAUCUUAAAAACGACAAAAAUUCAUAUUCACAUGUAUAUAACUUAUUAUGAUCGAAAGUAAGAAAGUUGGAAAACAUCAUCCAAUUUAGGUUUAUUACAUUCUUUAAAAAAUAAGGAGGUCAACAUUCCAAUUAUAUUUAGACGUCUUUGUAGAACUUAGCACGGUCCACAUCAAAAUUGUAAAAUUCAUUUUUACACAGCUUUACUGUGAAAAAUUGCUAUAAUUGUGUCUGUUGACAAAUUGCUGCGAUUUUUAUUUUUAUUCAGAUGUUAUGUAAAUGUAAGCAAAAUAGUUAUCAUUUCUUGCGGAAGGAAUCGAUCUCUUGACUUGUUACAUUGAUUGGGGAUAUGCUACAAGACGAUUUUUAUUUUUAUUCAAAUGUUAUGUAAAUGUAAGUAAAAUAGUUGUCAUUUCUUGCGGAAGGAAUCGAUCUCUUGACUUGUCACAUUGAGUGGAGAUAUGUUACAAGACGUUUGAAUUCUACAGUUAUUUUGGCACAACAUCCACAUCUCGCAAAGGCUCCCAAAUCAUUUGAUAUUAAUUUUUCAGGCUGUCAAAUUCUAUAAACUCCACAUACUUUUUGUCGACAUAAUCUUCCUUUAAAUAGCAGGAAGUUACUUUUGAAUAUGUUAUGCUUUAAGCUAUAAUACCAUAUAUACAAAACUUAAUGUUUGUUAUGGGGAAUAGAUGUAUCUAAAAAUUGUAAACAAUACAUGUAAUUUUGUGUAAUGGAGAAAAUAAAUAAUAUUAUUAAUUUGG